rnacentral:lncRNA from 1 species
GGUUCGCCGUCAUGGUUCCCACCCUGCUGUUGUGGUAAUGAGUAAGGGUUCUGCUUUGUGUGGAGGGUUCGGCAAUACUACAGUUUCCAACCCUCCGGUGGGCUGCCGCAUUUUGCGGCGGUUAUGCCCAAGCUGUAUUCCUAAGGAUUUCUCCCUUUUGGGAGAGGUGGUAGUAGCAAAUACGCUCCCUUCGGGGACUAGUUCGGUCGUUGCUAUACGCAAUACAAAUCCGUUCAGCCUCUAGUGUCUUUGUUCCCUCUGUGGACAAAGGCAAUUCUCGGCAUUUAAAGGUCGCUUCGGCGAUACAAUGCAUGAGAUGCAGAUGCGGUGGUCAUGUCCCUAGGCCUAGCAAACCUGAGCGAAGUCCACCGUAUUCAUAUUCCAUUCGCUUUGUGGACCGAGAAGUGGCAGGCGAAGCUGCACCCUAGUAGCAGGUAAUGAUUAGGUC